rnacentral:rRNA from 1 species
AUACGGAGGAUGCAAGCGUUAUCCGGAUUUAUUGGGUUUAAAGGGUGCGCAGGCGGGACUGUAAGUCAGGGGUGAAAUACUGCAGCUUAACUGUAGCAUUGCCUUUGAAACUGCCGUUCUUGAGUACAGUUGAGGCAGGGGGAAUGUGGUUUGUAACGGUGGAAUGCAUAGAUAUAACACAGAAAGCCGAUUGCGAAGGCAGCUUACUAAGCUGUUACUGACGCUGAGGCACGAAAGCGUGGGGAUCAAGCAGGAUUAGAUACCCUGGUAGUCCACGCUGUAAACGAUGAUUACUGGUUGUUAGCGAUAUAUAGCUAGUGACUGAGCGAAAGCAUUAAGUAAUCCACCUGGGGAGUACGUCGGCAACGAUGAAACUCAAAGGAAUUGACGGGG